AUUGAACGCUGGCGGCAGGCCUAACCCAUGCAAGUCGAGCGGAGCGGCGGACGGGCGAGUAAUGCCUAGGAAUCUGCAUGGUAGAGGGGGAUAAAGUCAGGAAACGGGCGCUAAUACCGCAUACUAUCAGAUGAGCCUAGGUCGGAUUAGCUAGUUGAUGGGGUAAAGGCCUACCAAGGCGACGCGCCGUUACUGGUCUGUGAGGAUGAUCAGUCACAUUAGAACUGAGACAAGGUCCAGAAGCAUGAGCGAGGCGGAAGGGGAGAAUAUGGCACAAGAGAGGAAAGCCUGAACCAGCCAUGCCGCGUGUGGGAAGAAGGUAUUCGGAACGUAAAUCACUUUAAGUUGGGUGGCGUUACCAGCAGAAUAAGCACCGGCUAACUACGUGCCAGCCGCGGCGGUAAUAC
rnacentral:rRNA from 1 species